rnacentral:rRNA from 1 species
UACGUAGGGUGCAAGCGUUGUCCGGAAUUAUUGGGCGUAAAGAGCUCGUAGGCGGUCUGUCGCGUCGGCUGUGAAAACCUGGGGCUUAACUCCGGGCCUGCAGCCGAUACGGGCAGACUAGAGUACGGCAGGGGAGACUGGAAUUCCUGGUGUAGCGGUGAAAUGCGCAGAUAUCAGGAGGAACACCGGUGGCGAAGGCGGGUCUCUGGGCCGAAACUGACGCUGAGCAGCGAAAGCGUGGGGAGCAAACAGG